CGUAGGUGAAACCUGCGGAGGGAUCAUUAAAGAGUUGCAAAACUCCCAAACCAUUGUGAACAUACCUUCAACGUUGCUUCGGCGGGUUGGCCCCGGUCUCCGGGGUCCCCGGCCCUACUCGGGCGCCCGCCGGAGGUAUCUAACUCUUGAACUUUUAUGGCCUCUCUGAGUCUUUGUACUUAAUAAGUCAAAACUUUCAACAACGGAUCUCUUGGUUCUGGCAUCGAUGAAGAACGCAGCGAAAUGCGAUAAGUAAUGUGAAUUGCAGAAUUCAGUGAAUCAUCGAAUCUUUGAACGCACAUUGCGCCCGCCAGUAUUCUGGCGGGCAUGCCUGUUCGAGCGUCAUUUCAACCAUCAAGCCCCCGGCUUGUGUUGGGGACCUGCGGCUGCCGCAGGCCCUGAAAACCAGUGGCGGGCUCGCUAGUCACUCCGAGCGUAGUAAUACAUCUCGCUCAGGGCGUGCUGCGGGUUCCGGCCGUUAAAAAGCCUUAUUUACCCAAGGUUGACCUCGGAUCAGGUAGGAAGACCCGCUGAACUUAAGCAUAUCAAUAAAGCGGA
rnacentral:rRNA from 1 species